rnacentral:lncRNA from 10 species
AUAGUAACGCAGCCGUGGCAACUCAACGACAAAGUGCUGGCUCGAACCUCAGCCCCCAGCCCCUAGCCCACUUUGUGAAAAGAAUUUCAUUGACCAUCAGAAUAUGUGGUGGUGGCAGUGGGGGAUAAAAUUGAAGCAGAAAAUGUCCCUUUACAUUUCAACCAUAAAACCAUCUGUUGCUGAGGACUGUGCAGGGAGAGGAUCCCUAAAUUUCGUUUGGACCUCAAAGCACCUGUGACUUCCUCUCU